rnacentral:rRNA from 1 species
UGGGGAAUUUUGCACAAUGGGCGCAAGCCUGAUGCAGCCAUGCCGCGUGUGUGAAGAAGGCCUUCGGGUUGUAAAGCACUUUCAGCGAGGAGGAAGGUGGUGAACUUAAUACGUUCAUCAAUUGACGUUACUCGCAGAAGAAGCACCGGCUAACUCCGUGCCAGCAGCCGCGGUAAUACGGAGGGUGCAAGCGUUAAUCGGAAUUACUGGGCGUAAAGCGCACGCAGGCGGUUUGUUAAGUCAGAUGUGAAAUCCCCGGGCUCAACCUGGGAACUGCAUUUGAAACUGGCAAGCUAGAGUCUCGUAGAGGGGGGUAGAAUUCCAGGUGUAGCGGUGAAAUGCGUAGAGAUCUGGAGGAAUACCGGUGGCGAAGGCGGCCCCCUGGACGAAGACUGACGCUCAGGUGCGAAAGCGUGGGGAGCAAACAGAUUAGNUACCCUGGUAGUCCACGCUGUAAAACGAUGUCGAUUUUGGAGGUUGUGCCCUUGAGGCGUGGNUUCCGGAGCUAACGNGUUAAAUCGACCGCC